GAAAGUAGUGGAAACUGACUCGUCCCCUCGAGGAAUGACCGGUUUGAAGAUGAGGAUUCCCACCAACAAACUGCAGCAACUGGCCAUUUUCACCACCCUCGUGACCGGAGGCGCAGUCAGCACCAUGUACUACCUGAUGCAGAAGAAAUUUGCAGAGUCGGACUACCACAAGCUGGCUGUGCAGAAGUUGGAAGCGUGCACGGUUGCCAUGGAGAGUUUGGGCGCGCCGCCUCUAAAAGUCCACAACAUCCGCCUGACUGACCGAGACAACCGAGUGGAUCAUCACACCGCCCAGAUGAAGAUCCCAGUGAGCGGCUCCAGAACUGGAGGUUAUUUAUACACCACUUCAUCCUGGGAGCCUGGAAACAACAGAUGGCGAGUUAAGAUGGCGGUGCUCAGGCUGAAAGAAGGUGACAUCAUGGACCUAACGAGCACACACACUGACGACCAUGUCAAUGGUGUGACGCAGGAAGGCUGCAGCUAGUGGCAACCACACGUCUGAUGUCUCUGACUACUCAUCAGACCACCUCUUGACUUACUAAGUAUCAUCUGACUUUGUUUUGUGCUCCAGUUCCUUCGGCCUUCCUCCUGAAGGUACCAGAUGGUACCAGACUUCUUAAAGGGGUCCUCCACAACCAGUCAGGAGGAGAGUCUGGCUCAGCUCGGAGCAAACUUCCACGGCUCGUGUUCCCGCCCAGAGGCCCAGAUUGAGGCUCUGUACCAAGCAGACAUUC